GACGAACGCUGGCGGCGUGCUUAACACAUGCAAGUCGAACGGAAAGGCCCUGCUUUUGUGGGGUGCUCGAGUGGCGAACGGGUGAGUAACACGUGAGUAACCUGCCCUUGACUUUGGGAUAACUUCAGGAAACUGGGGCUAAUACCGGAUAGGAGCUCCUGCUGCAUGGUGGGGGUUGGAAAGUUUCGGCGGUUGGGGAUGGACUCGCGGCUUAUCAGCUUGUUGGUGGGGUAGUGGCUUACCAAGGCUUUGACGGGUAGCCGGCCUGAGAGGGUGACCGGCCACAUGGGGACUGAGAUACGGCCCAGACGCCUACGGGAGGCAGCAGUGGGGAAUAUUGCACAAUGGGCGGAAGCCUGAUGCAGCAACGCCGCGUGCGGGAGGACGGCCUUCGGGUUGGAAACCGCUUUCGCCUGUGACGAAGCGUGAGUGACGGGAAUGGGUAAAGAAGCACCGGCUAACUACGG
rnacentral:rRNA from 1 species